rnacentral:rRNA from 1 species
ACACGGACCAAGGAGUCUAGUCCACGCGCGAGUCAAAGGGUUGGCUAAACCUCAAGGCGAAACGAAAGUAAUUUUAUUUGGGCCGAUCCGGUUCGAGGUGCGUGACUUCGGAAGGAGGGGUUUUCCUCUUCUUUCGGUCUCCCCCCGAUUUAUCUCCCUCGUAUGAGACCGGCGCAGGCUCGGGGCCCGCAGGCGACCUCAGCGCCGCUAUGCCACUGCCCGACUUUUCCUCAGGAGAUGUAAUUCGGAACUAGGCAAUCGUGCUGGCAUCCGAACGUCUGCGGCGGCGGCGGCGGCAACGUCGUCUUCGUCGUUGGCUUUUAGGGCCUACCACGAAUUCUGCUGGCGUGUUCGAGUGAGGAAGGCGUAGUUCGCAGGCGCCGGACGUGCAGCGGGUUCUUUGAGCGCGUGAUCUAGUACCCGAAAGAUGGUGAUCUAUGCCUGGCCAGGAUGAAGCCAGGGGAAACUCUGGUGGAGGUCCGUAGCGAUUCUGACGUGCAAAUCGAUCGUCGGAG